AGAACGAACGCUGGCGGCAGGCCUAAUACAUGCAAGUCGAACGCACUCUUCGGAGUGAGUGGCAGACGGGUGAGUAACGCGUGGGAACCUUCCCAAUGGUACGGAAUAACUCCGGGAAACCGGUGCUAAUACCGUAUAAGCCCCUCGGGGGAAAGAUUUAUCGCCAUUGGAUGGGCCCGCGUCGGAUUAGCUAGUUGGUAAGGUAAUGGCUUACCAAGGCUACGAUCCGUAGCUGGUCUGAGAGGAUGAUCAGCCACACUGGGACUGAGACACGGCCCAGACUCCUACGGGAGGCAGCAGUAGGGAAUCUUGGACAAUGGGCGAAAGCCUGAUCCAGCCAUGCCGCGUGAGUGAAGAAGGCCUUAGGGUUGUAAAGCUCUUUUGGCGGGGUACGAUAAUGACGGUACCCGCAGAAUAAGCCCCGGCUAACUUCGUGCCAGCAGCCGC
rnacentral:rRNA from 1 species